CCCUUAGAUGUCCUGGGCCGCACGCGCGCUACACUGAUGCAUUCAACGAGUAUUUCCUUGGCCGAGAGGCCUGGGUAAUCUUUUGAACGUGCAUCGUGAUAGGGAUAGAUUAUUGCAAUUGUUAAUCUUGAACGAGGAAUUCCUAGUAAACGCGAGUCAUCAGCUCGCAUUGAUUACGUCCCUGCCCUUUGUACACACCGCCCGUCGCACCUACCGAUUGAAUGGUUCGGUGAAGAUCUCGGACUUCGAUAUUUAUUCUUUAUUGAGUUUAUAUUGUGGGAAGUUAUCUAAACCUCAUCAUUUAGAGGAAGGUGAAGUCGUAACA
rnacentral:rRNA from 1 species